rnacentral:lncRNA from 1 species
AUUGCAUGUAAAUAACUAUACUUUCACUAAGUAAUUCCAAGGAAAAACUCAUUCCCACAUCGAUUGAAAAAUAUAUGAUGAGUGGAAGCAAAAGAACACAACCACUAAUAUACAAAAUAAAUUACAGAGACACCAUCAGCAAAUCUAACAUAAUAGAUACCAAGUUAAAUGUGGAUGAAGAAGGAUGAUCGUGAAACUUAGGCAUAUAUUAGAUGACCACUAAGUCCAAAAAGGGUUCUUCCUCCGCCACCCAAAACAAUGUUGAACUGUAACUUAUCCAACUAAGAGCUCCCAAAACUUAAAUCACCUAAAAUCAACAACAUGAAAAUCAUAUAGAAGCAACAUAUUUUCAACUGCCAACAGAAUUCUUGAAAAAGACAAACUUUUUUCUUAAAAUUUAGUGACCGGACAGGACUAAACUACUUAACUUCUAACUGUGAUUGGACUACACUAGAAACAAAGCAAAGCCUCUUCCAAGAAUCGCUUCUAAGUGGGUCCAAAAAUUCUUUGAAAUUGAAAUAGAAAAGAUAAACAUGGUGAAGGAAGAAACUAUUACCAUUUUGUU